UCAUUAAAGAGUUCUAUAACUCCCAAACCCAUGUGAACAUACCUAACGUUGCCUCGGCAGGUCGCACCUACCUUGUAGCACCCUACCCUGUAGGGCCUACCCGGGAGGUGCGGGUAAGCCUGCCGGCGGCCCACCAAACUCUGUUUGAUAUUGAAUUCUGAACCUAUAACUAAAUAAGUUAAAACUUUCAACAACGGAUCUCUUGGUUCUGGCAUCGAUGAAGAACGCAGCGAAAUGCGAUAAGUAAUGUGAAUUGCAGAAUUCAGUGAAUCAUCGAAUCUUUGAACGCAUAUUGCGCCCAUUAGUAUUCUAGUGGGCAGGACCGUUCGAGCGUCAUUUCAACCCUUAAGCCUUCGUUGCUUAGUGUUGGGAGCCUACGGUAACGUAGCUCCUCAAAGUUAGUGGCGGAGUUGGUUCACACUCUAGACGUAGUAAUUUUUUAUCUCGCCUAUUAGUUGGACUAAUCCCCUGCCGUAAAACCCCCAAUUUAUCAAGGUUGACCUCGAAUCGGUUCAGACAAACUCGCUAAAUUGAAGCAUCUUAGUCAGCGAAGGAAAAGAAACCAACAGGGAUUGCCCUAGUAACGGCGAGUGAAGCGGCAACAGCU
rnacentral:rRNA from 1 species